CGUGAGACAGUUCGGUCCCUAUCUACCGUGGGCGUUGGAAAUUUGAGAGGAUCUGCUCCUAGUACGAGAGGACCAGAGUGGACUUACCGCUGGUGUACCAGUUGUCUUGCCAAAGGCAUCGCUGGGUAGCUAUGUAGGGAAGGGAUAAACGCUGAAAGCAUCUAAGUGUGAAACCCACCUCAAGAUGAGAUUUCCCAUGAUUUUAUAUCAGUAAG
rnacentral:misc_RNA from 1 species